rnacentral:rRNA from 1 species
CGCCCUUCGUUUUUUUAUAUGAUGGGUUGGGCCUGCCCGGUGAUUAGUCAGGUUUUGAAGUUACUUAUAUAACAAAAAAUUUUUUUAAACGGCUGCAAUUAAUAGUUGUGCUAAGGUAGCGUAAUCAUUUGCCCCUUAAUUAGGGGAAGGUAUGAAUGGCUUGACGUGGGAAGAGCUGUCUCUUUUGUAUAGAGAGAAGUUUAUUUUUAAGUGAAAAAGCUUAAAUUUUUAUAAAAGACGAGAAGACCCUAUCGAACUUGAAUUAUGUGUUAAAAAGUUUUUGAUACAAAAAAUUUAGUUGGGGAAACUUAAAGUUAAAAAAAACGCUUUUUUUUUAUGAAUUGAUCCUUUAUUAUGGAAAAAUGAAAAAGUUACCGUAGGGAUAACAGCGCUUUCUUCUCUGAGAGGACUAAUUAAAGAGUUGGUUGCGACCUCGAUGUUGGAUUAAGGUUUCUUUUUGGGGUAGGAGUUAAAAUAGUAAAACUGUUCGUUUUUUAAAACCUU